ACGGCUCAGUAACACGUCGAUAAUCUGCCCUCAAGAAGGGGAUAAUCUCGGGAAACUGAGUGUAAUACCCUAUAAGAGAUUAAUAUUGCAAUAUUUUUUCUCUCAAAGCUUCGGCGCUUGAGGAUGAGUCGGCGGCGGAUUAGAUUGUUGGUAAGGUAAUGGCUUACCAAGUCUUUGAUCUGUACGGGCCGUGAGAGCGGUAGCCCGGAGAAGGACACUGAGAUACUGGUCCUAGCCCUACGGGGUGCAGCAGGCGCGGAACCUUUACAAUGUACGAAAGUGUGAUAAGGGGAUUCCAAGUGCUCAUGUUUAAACAUGGGCUUUUAUCAAGAGUAAAUAUCUUGGUGAAUAAGUGGUGGGUAAGACCAGUGCCAGCAGCCGCGGUAAUACCGGCGCCACAAGUGGCAACCAUUUUUAUUGGGCCUAAAGCAUUCGUAGCCGGUUUGAUAAAUUUUCUGUGAAAAUGUCUAGCUCAACUAGGCAAAUUGCAGAAAAGACUGUUAAACUAGAGACUGGGAGGGGUUAGAAGUAUUUCUGGGGGAGCGGUAAAAUGUGAUAAUCCUAGAAAGACUACCGAUGGCGAAGGCAUCUAACCAGAACAGUUCUGACGGUGAGGAAUGAAAGCCAGGGGAGCGAACCGGAUUAGAUACCCGAGUAGUCCUGGCUGUAAACGCUGCGAGCAAGAUGUUGUGUUUCCUUCGUGGAAAUGCAGUAUCGAAGCGAAGGCAUUAAGCUCGCCGCCUGGGAAGUAUAGUUGCAAGACCGAAACUUAAAGGAAUUGGCGGGGGAGCACUACAAGGGGUGCGGCGUGCGGUUUAAUCUAAUUCAACGCAGAGAAUCUCACCAGCAGCGACGGCAGAAUGAAAGUCAGGUUAAUGGCCUUACUAGACGAGCCGAGAGGAGGUGCAUGGCC
rnacentral:rRNA from 1 species